rnacentral:rRNA from 1 species
GGUUUGGAUUCUGGCUCAGAUUGAACGCUGGCGGGAUGCUUUACAUGCAAGUCGAACGGCAGCACGGACUUCGGUCUGGUGGCGAGUGGCGAACGGGUGAGUAAUGUAUCGGAACGUGCCUAGUAGCGGGGGGAUAACUACGCGAAAGCGUAGCUAAUACUGCACACACCGGGGAAAGCGGGGACCUUCGGGCCUCGCACUACGAGCGGCUGAUAUCGGAUUAGCCAGUUGGUGGGGUAACGGCUCACUAAGGCGACGAUCCGUAGCGCUGGUUUGAGAGGACGACCAGCCACACUGGGACUGAGACACGCCCAGACUCUACGGAGGCAGCAGUGGGGAAUUUUGGACAAUGGGGGAAACCCUGAUUCAGCCAUCCCGCGUGUGCGAUGAAGGCUCUCGGGUUGUAAAGCACUUUUGGCGGGAAAAGAAACGGCACGGAUAAUACCCCGUGCAACUGACGGUACCUGCAGAAUAAGCACCGGCUAACUACGUGCCAGCAGCCGCGGUACGUAGGUGCAAGCGUUAAUCGGAAUUACUGGCGUAAAGCGUGCAGGCGGUUCGGAAAGAAAGAUGGAAAUCCCAGAGCUUAACUUUGAACCGCAUUUUUAACUACCGAGCUAGAGUGUGUCAGAGGGAGGUGGAAUUCCGCGUGUAGCAGUGAAACGCGUGACAUGCGGAGGAACACCGAUGGCGAAGGCAGCCUCCUGGGAUAACACUGACGCUCAUGCACGAAAGUGCGGGGAGCAACAGGAUUAGAUACUCCUGUAGUCAAUACGCCCUAAACGAUGUCAACUAGCUGUUGGGGCCUUCGGGCCGGUAGCGCAGCUGCAGGAAGUUGACCGCCUGGGGAGUACGGUCGCAAGAUUAAAACUCAAAGGAAUUGACGGGGACCCGCACAAGCGGUGGAUGAUGCGGAUUGUUCGAUGCAACGCGAAAACCUUACCUACCCUUGACAUGUCUGGAAUCCCGAAGAGAUUUGGGAGUGCUCGCAAGGGAACCGAACACAGGUGCUGCAUGGCUGUCGUCAGCUCGUGUGUCACGAGAUGUUGGGUUAAGUCCCGCAACGAGCGCAACCCUUGUCACAGCCACAUGAAAGGGCACUCUAAUGAGACUGCCGGUGACAAACCGAUAGCGGUGGGAUGACGUCAAGUCCUCAUGGCCCCGCGGGUAGGGCUUCACACGAACCCGGGAGCCAAUCCCAGAAACCCGAUCGUAGUCCGGAUCGCAGUCUGCAACCUGACUGCGUGAAGUCGGAAUCGCUAGUAAUCGCGGAUCAGUAUGUCGCGGUGAAUACGUUCCUGGUCUUGUACACACCGCCCGUCACACCAUGGGAGUGGGUUUUACCAGAAGUAGUUAGCCUAACCGUAAGGAGGGCGAUUACCACGGAUUCAUGACUGGGGUGAAGUCGUAACAAGGUAG